UGCUAAAACGUAAAGUUACACCAGUCGGGGCGGGCGGCCGCCAGACGGACCAGACCGUAAUAAUAUUGUUGCGCCGAGUGUAUAACUGGGCGGGGGAGCGCAUGCGCGGCUAACGCAUUCUACCGUCUGGCCUUAACUCGGUCCCGAUUGAGGCAGGUCAGUGUCAAUGCACUUUAAUGACGUUCGCAACUCAUCCUUCGUUGCGCCAACAAGCAAGCAGCUCUGCUCCGCCACAAUAAUAUUUCUCAGCUUCGACCGACCGGAAGAUCCGUGUAAGACAUGCAAUAGUUUUUCUUCUCGUCGCUUAAAUAUAUAUAUAUUACUUUUUACGAAACUAAUUCGUACCGUCGCCACUUUUAUCCGGUAUUCGGAUCGGCGAAAAAAAAAAAUAAAUAAAAAAACAUUUAAAUUCGAUCCGCUUUUUUUUCCUCCGUACACUGCUGCCGACCAAGACGACGACGAUUUUCCGACGACAGACGGCUGCCGGGAAACUACGACGACGAGAAACGGUCGGAAAUCUCGUCAUAUAAUCCCAACGUGGCGGCGAUCAAUUAUUGCGAAAUAAUCUGGUUUUAUUUUGGAUAAAAGAUUAUAUAUCAACGCUGACAAGAGUGAGGUAGUUGGUUGUAUAGUAGUUUAUUAUUUGACUUUACUAUACAAUCGGCUAACUUUACUUCUGUCUUGCUAAAGUGUCUUCAUACCAGAACAAGUACGAUCGAUUCAAUCAGUGGAACGGAGAAAAUAUUUUAACAUGUAUUAUGAUGUGCGCACAUAUCGUUUAAAAUGUAUAUGUGUACCAGGUACAAUGUAAUGUACAACACAUAGGACGACGGCCAUUAGGCGCCUAACCCACCGUGUUACCGGAAAAUUGUUGGGAAGUGUUAAAUCUAUUGGCAUUACCAAUAGACAACUGUCGCCAAUAAUAUAAAUCGACUUAUGUACGGUAUUCGGUAUUAGUUUAAGAAAUUACCUGGAUUCAAAGUGUUAACAGAUGAUGGUAGUUCAAAAGAUGGCUUUAGAUCUGGGUACAGUAACUUUGCUCCCAAAACAUUUGACAUUGCAAGAUUAUUUGCAGCACCAUCAAAACCUAAUAGAUAGAAUGCAACAGGAAUUUUCCAAGAAAUGUUGAUGCCAACUACAAUUAUGACAAAGGCAUCCUUGGCAUAUGGAAGAUUAUCAGCUUGUUUUGCUGUAUUACCAAGACCAUAAUCUGCGCACCCCUGAUGUCGAGUACCUAUCCAAUUUACAUGCUGCUAAAUACUCAUUUCAUCAAUUAUCAUAUAACCAAAUAAUAUUUUUCCACUUUUUUCAUUUCUUCAACUUUCAUGGAUAUAACUUUAUAAAUGACUUUGAAAAGAAUUCAGGCAAACCAUUAAUACUAGAAUACCAUUUACUCAAUGUGCUAACAUGGGGCAAACUUUUUUAAAAUAUACUACGGACAUAAUCGUAUGCUGAUGGCGAGUAGAAAUGUAGUGUUAAGGCAAACUUUCUUAAUUCAGGUAUUAUUGAUUAUCCAUGUAUUAAAUUAAGUUGUCGCAUCAAUAAAUGUUAUUCUUCUUCGGGCCCUAUGUUCCAAGAAUAUAAAUCUAUAAAUAUUUUAAUAUCGGUGUUAUUAUUACAUAUGACUAUAACAUGAGCCACCUUAUAUUAAAUUUUCAAAUCUUAGACAUAAAAAAAAAA